UGAAGGUGAUAGCCUAUUGGCUACAGCCUGUCAUGUCCAGACGAUGAUGACAUGAGGGAGGCGCCUGAAAACGGAGCCAAACUUUAAUGAGACUUUUAAUUACAUGAAGUACCGGUCCAAAGUUUGGCCACACCUACUCAUUCAAGAGGGGUUUCUUUAAUGUGUUAAUAUGUUCUACAUUGUAGAAUAACAGUGAAAACAUCACAACUGUGGAAUAACACACAUGGGAUCAUGUAGUAACCAGAAACAAAGUGUUCAUGUCCCGAUCGUCGUCAGGAGCGGACCAAGAUGCAGCGUGGGAUGUUGUUCAUGAUGAUUUUAAUAAUUAAAGAAAACACUGAACACCGAAUACAAACUAUACAAAAACAAUAAACGAAUAACGACCGUGAAGCUAUAAUGAGAACUGUGCUGAACACAAGCAACUAACAUAGACAAUCAGCCAACAAACAAACAGUGAAACCCAGGCUACCUAAGUAUGAUUCUCAAUCAGAGACAACGAAUGACACCUGCCUCUGAUUGAGAACCAUACUAGGCCCGAAACAUAGAAAUCCCCAAAUCAUAGAAAAACAAACAUAGACAACAUAGACAAACAUAGACCCCAACUCACGCCCUGACCACCCCAACUCACGCCCUGGCCAUACUAAAUAAAUACAAAACAAAGGAAAUAAAGGUCAGAACGUGACAAUUAAAUCGGUCAAAAUAUACUUGAGAUUCUUCAAAGUAGCCACCCUUUGCAUUGAAGACAGCUUUGCACACUCUUGGCAUUCUCUCAACCAGCUUCACCUGGAAUGCUUUUCCAACUGUCUUGACUUAGUUCCUACAUAUGCUGAGCACUUGUUGGCUGCUUUUCCUUCACUUUGCGGUCCUUCACUCUGCAUAUGGCCUUGGUUUCCUAGCAGAUGGCCUUGGUGCCCUAGCAGAGGGCAUUGGUGCCCUUGCAUCUUGGUGCCCUAGCAGAGGGCCUUGGUGCCCUAGCACCAAAGUUAGGGUUAGGGUCUUUCUGUGUCUCUCUCUCUCCCCCUCUGUAUCUAUAUCUGUAUCUAUCUCUCUGUGUCUCUAUCUCUCUAUGUCUCUCUCUCUGUCUCUCUCUCUGUGUCUCUCUCUGUCUCUCUGUGUCUCUCUGUGUCUCUGUGUCUCUUUCUGUCUCUCUCUGUGUCUCUCUCUCUCUCUCUCUCUCUCUCUCUCUCUCUCUCUGUGUGUGUGUCUAACUCUCUCUGUGUGUCUCUGUCUCUCUCUCUCUGUCUCCUCUCUGUAUCUCUGUCUCUCUCUCUCUGUGUCUCUCUCUCUGUGUCUCUUAUCCUCCUUCCCCCUUCCCACCUCUCCCUCUUUCACGUUCUCCCCUCUUUCUCUCUUUCCCUUUCUCAUCUCUCUCUCUGGCUCUGUCUCUCUCUCCCUCUCUCU
rnacentral:lncRNA from 13 species